rnacentral:rRNA from 1 species
AUUGAACGCUGGCGGCAUGCCUUACACAUGCAAGUCGAACGGUAACAGGUCUUCGGAUGCUGACGAGUGGCGAACGGGUGAGUAAUACAUCGGAACGUGCCUAGUAGUGGGGGAUAACUACUCGAAAGAGUGGCUAAUACCGCAUGAGAUCUACGGAUGAAAGCAGGGGAUCGCAAGACCUUGUGCUACUAGAGCGGCCGAUGGCAGAUUAGGUAGUUGGUGGGGUAAAAGCUUACCAAGCCGACGAUCUGUAGCUGGUCUGAGAGGACGAUCAGCCACACUGGGGCUGAGACACGGCCCAGACUCCUACGGGAGUCAGCAGUGGGGAAUUGUGGACAAUGGGCGAAAGCCUGAUCCAGCAAUGCCGCGUGCAGGAUGAAGGCCUUCGGGUUGUAAACUGCUUUUGUACGGAACGAAAAGCCCCGGGUUAAUACCCUGGGGUCAUGACGGUACCGUAAGAAUAAGCACCGGCUAACUACGUGCCAGCCGCCGCCGUAA